AACAGUCUUUUUGUUUGUUUUCUUCGGAAAUUUCACCCUCUUUUUUGUGUUUUUACAGGCAAAAAACAGAGCAGCCGGGGCCUGUAAAGCUCGGUUUGCGGCUUUGGCUAUAGACAAGACAACAAUAGGCAUCGUUUCUCCGAGAAGAUGGGAACACAGGCUCGUGCCUAACUUUGUGAAGUGAUUUUGGAUUUAGAUUCUAUUUUGGUUCAUUGAGUUGUUGUUUUUGUGAACCUGCAAUUUUUAUAGCCAAUGGAUGUCCUGUGAAAAUCUAAUAGACUUUGAUUAUAUAAUUUUUAACUUGAUUUUAUUCUC